GACGAACGCUGGCGGCGUGCUUAACACAUGCAAGUCGAGCGGUAAGGCCCUUUCGGGGGUACGACGAGCGGCGAACGGGUGAGUAACACGUGGGUGACCUGCCCUCAGCUCUGGGAUAAGCCUGGGAAACCGGGUCUAAUACUGGAUAUGACUCCAUGACGCAUGUUGUGGGGUGGAAAGCCUUGUGCGGCUGAGGAUGGGCCCGCGGCCUAUCAGCUUGUUGGUGGGGUGAUGGCCUACCAAGGCGACGACGGGUAGCCGGCCUGAGAGGGCGACGGCCACACUGGGACUGAGACACGGCCCAGACUCCUACGGGAGGCAGCAGUGGGGAAUCUUGCGCAAUGGGCGAAAGCCUGACGCAGCGACGCCGCGUGA
rnacentral:rRNA from 1 species